UACGGGGGGUGCGAGCGUUGUCCGGAAUUAUUGGGCGUAAAGAGCUCGUAGGCGGUUUGUCGCGUCUGCUGUGAAAACUCGGGGCUUAACCCCGGGCCUGCAGUGGGUACGGGCAGACUAGAGUGCGGUAGGGGAGACUGGAAUUCCUGGUGUAGCGGUGAAAUGCGCAGAUAUCAGGAGGAACACCGGUGGCGAAGGCGGGUCUCUGGGCCGUAACUGACGCUGAGGAGCGAAAGCGUGGGGAGCGAACAGG
rnacentral:rRNA from 1 species